rnacentral:rRNA from 1 species
GACGAACGCUGGCGGCGUGCUUAACACAUGCAAGUCGAACGGAAAGGCCCUGCUUUUGUGGGGUGCUCGAGUGGCGAACGGGUGAGUAACACGUGAGUAACCUGCCCUUGACUUUGGGAUAACUUCAGGAAACUGGGGCUAAUACCGGAUAGGAGCUCCUGCUGCAUGGUGGGGGUUGGAAAGUUUCGGCGGUUGGGGAUGGACUCGCGGCUUAUCAGCUUGUUGGUGGGGUAGUGGCUUACCAAGGCUUUGACGGGUAGCCGGCCUGAGAGGGUGACCGGCCACAUUGGGACUGAGAUACGGCCCAGACUCCUACGGGAAGCAGCAGUGGGGAAUAUUGCACAAUGGACGGAAGCCUGAUGCAGCAACGCCACGUGCGGGAUGACGGCCUUCGGGUUGUAAACCGCUUUCGCCUGUGACGAAGCGUGAGUGACGGUAAUGGGUAAAGAAGCACCGGCUAACUACGUG